UACAGAGGUCUCAAGCGUUGUUCGGAAUCAUUGGGCGUAAAGCGCGCGUAGGCGGUUACUUAUGUCGGAUGUGAAAGCCCUCGGCUUAACUGAGGAAGUGCAUUCGAAACUGGGUAGCUAGAGUACUAAAGAGGGUCGCGGAAUUCCCGGUGUAGAGGUGAAAUUCGUAGAUAUCGGGAGGAACACCGGUGGCGAAGGCGGCGACCUGGGUAGAUACUGACGCUGAGGCGCGAAAGCCAGGGGAGCGAACGGG
rnacentral:rRNA from 1 species